rnacentral:rRNA from 1 species
CUGUUUUUUUUUUUUACAAUAAUGUUUGGUUUAGUGAUCCUAAAAUGGAUUAAAGAUUAAGUUACUUUAGGGAUAACAGCGUAAUUUUCUUCAAGAGUUCUUAUCGACAAGAGAGUUUGCGACCUCGAUGUUGAAUUAAAGGUUCUUUAUAGAGUAGAGACUAUAAUAGAAGGUCUGUUCNNCCUUUAAANCUUUACAUGAUUUGAGUUCANACCGG